rfam:Oesophagostomum dentatum strain OD-Hann O_dentatum-1.0_Cont2036.5, whole genome shotgun sequence.
CCAACGGCCCUCUUUAGGGCCACAUUUCUAUAUCGAAUACCCUGAAG